rnacentral:rRNA from 1 species
UACGAAGGGGGCUAGCGUUGUUCGGAAUCACUGGGCGUAAAGGGUGCGUAGGCGGCGCGGUAAGUCGGGUGUGAAAUCUCGGAGCUUAACUCCGAAACUGCAUUCGAUACUGCCGUGCUUGAGGACUGGAGAGGAGAGUGGAAUUUACGGUGUAGCGGUGAAAUGCGUAGAUAUCGUAAGGAAGACCAGUGGCGAAGGCGGGUCUCUGGACAGUUCCUGACGCUGAUGCACGAAGGUCAGGGGAGCAAACGGG